AGUGAACGCUGGCGGUAGGCCUAACACAUGCAAGCCGAACGGCAGCACAGUAAGAGCUUGCUCUUACGGGUGGCGAGUGGCGGACGGGUGAGGAAUACAUCGGAAUCUACUUUUUCGAGGGGGCUAACGUAGGGGAACUUACGCUAAUACCGCAUACGACCUACGGGUGAAAGCAGGGGAUCUUCGGACCUUGCGCGAUUGAAUGAGCCGAUGUCGGAUUAGCUAGUUGGAGGGGUAAAGGCCCACCAAGGCGACGAUCCGUAGCUGGUCUGAGAGGAUGAUCAGCCACACUGGAACUGAGACACGGUCCAGACUCCUACGGGAGGCAGCAGUGGGGAAUAUUGGACAAUGGGCGCAAGCCUGAUCCAGCCAUACCGCGUGGGUGAAGAAGGCCUUCGGGUUGUAAAGCCCUUUUGUUGGGAAAGAAAAGCAGCAGGUUAAUACCCCGCUGUUCUGACGGUACCCAAAGAAUAAGCACCGGCUAACUUCGUG
rnacentral:rRNA from 1 species